UACGGAGGGGGCUAGCGUUGUUCGGAAUUACUGGGCGUAAAGCGCGCGUAGGCGGAUCUGCAAGUCGGGGGUGAAAUCCCGAGGCUCAACCUCGGAACUGCCUUCGAUACUGCGGGUCUCGAGUCCGGGAGAGGUGAGUGGAAUUCCUAGUGUAGAGGUGAAAUUCGUAGAUAUUAGGAAGAACACCAGUGGCGAAGGCGGCUGACUGGUCCGGUUCUGACGCUGAGGCGCGAAAGCGUGGGGAGCGAACAGG
rnacentral:rRNA from 1 species